GAUGAACGCUAGCGGGAGGCUUAACACAUGCAAGUCGUGGGGCAGCAGGGUAGCAAUACCGCUGACGACCGGCGCACGGGUGAGUAACACGUAUCCAACCUUCCCAUAACUCGGGGAUAGCCUUUCGAAAGAAAGAUUAAUACCCGAUAGUACUUAUAUAGGGCAUCCUACAUAAGUUAAAGAUUUAUUGGUUAUGGAUGGGGAUGCGUUCCAUUAGAUAGUUGGUGAGGUAACGGCUCACCAAGUCUUCGAUGGAUAGGGGUUCUGAGAGGAAGGUCCCCCACAUUGGUACUGAGACACGGACCAAACUCCUACGGGAGGCAGCAGUGAGGAAUAUUGGUCAAUGGGCGAGAGCCUGAACCAGCCAAGUAGCGUGAAGGAUGAAGGUCCUAUGGAUUGUAAACUUCUUUUAUAGUAGAAUAAAGAGAUCCACGUGUGGAUUUUUGUAUGUAUACUAUGAAUAAGGAUCGGCUAACUCCGUGCCAGCAGCCGCAGUAACAC
rnacentral:rRNA from 1 species